UACGUAGGGUGCGAGCGUUAAUCGGAAUUACUGGGCGUAAAGCGUGCGCAGGCGGUUUUGUAAGUCUGUCGUGAAAUCCCUGGGCUCAACCUAGGAAUUGCGAUGGAGACUGCAAGGCUAGAAUCUGGCAGAGGGGGGUAGAAUUCCACGUGUAGCAGUGAAAUGCGUAGAGAUGUGGAGGAACACCGAUGGCGAAGGCAGCCCCCUGGGUCAAGAUUGACGCUCAUGCACGAAAGGCGUGGGGAGCAAACAGG
rnacentral:rRNA from 1 species